rnacentral:lncRNA from 1 species
UUUUAAUACAUCUUUGAGGAAAUGUAAAGCUGGGGAGCAGUCUAGUAAGCACAAGAAAAUGUGUGUUUUUCACAUAUUGACAUUACUAAUCCUUGGGGAAAUACAAGUAAAAACCAUAAUGAAAUACCAAUUUGUACCUAUUAGGAUGGCUAUUACAAAGAAAAUUCAAAGCAUAUCGAGUGUUGACCAGGAUAUGAAAAAAUUGAAACUCUUUGCAUUACUGGUGAAAAUGUAAAAUAAUGUGGUCUUUGUGGAAAACAUCAUGCUGUUUGCUAAAAAUAUUAAACACAGAAUUAGCAUAUUAUCCAGGAAUUACACAUCUACGUAUAUGCCCAAAAAUAGUAAAAGCAGAGACUCGAGCAGAUAAAAGUGUACCCUUGUUUCCAAAACGACGUGCUGCUCCUAAAAACAAUGGUCUUUUGAUCAGUUUCUACAUUUUUUCACCUUUGCUCAUUUUAAUUGCUAUUGUCAGUCUUAAAUGGAAUAAAAUGAAGAGAUUUUGGAGCAAAGUGGGAACAGUAAGCAGCAAAUCUAUCUCAGAAGACAGCAGUAGUAACAACAGCCAGUCACAGAGUUAAAGUAACCAAGUGAUAAAAUCAAAGCCAUCAGAUGAAGAAAGGAUAUUACCAAGAAACUCACCGUUAACUUAAAACUUUCAAUUUCACAAAACAAAAUAAAUCAUAUGACUAAAAGCACACAAGCUUGUGUCUAUUGAUUCUUCUACCCUCCAUGAUCCUUUAGCAGGAAGUGA